AUUGAACGCUGGCGGCAGGCCUAACACAUGCGAGUCGAACGAGUGGCGGACGGGUGAGUAAUGUCUGGGACACUGCCCGAUGGAGGGGGAUAACUACUGGAAACGGUAGCUAAUACCGCAUACCAUCGGAUGUGCCCAGAUGGGAUCAGCUAGUCGGUGGGGUAACGGCUCACCUAGGCGACGAUCCCUAGCUGGUCUGAGAGGAUGACAAGCAAAAGUGGAACUGAGACACGGUCCAGACGCCUACGGGAGGCAGCAGUGGGGAAUAUGGCACAAGUGGCGCAAGCCUGAUGCAGCCAUGCAGCGUGUAUGAAGAAGGCCUUCGGGUUGUAAAGUACUUUCAGCGAGGAGGCGUUAAUCGCAGAAGAAGCACCGGCUAACUCCGUGCCAGCAGCCGCGGUAAUUC
rnacentral:rRNA from 1 species